rnacentral:lncRNA from 10 species
CGGAUGGAAGCAGGGCUCUAGAGAGCUCCAGUUCAGCUUCAGCGUGGUCAGAGACACUAUCUCUAUGGAAGGUCACUCCUGGAAGAAUACAUUUACUUAGCUGCUUCCACCAUGGAAUCCUAGCUUGUGCUGGAGUGUCCCCUUCAUCCUCCUCCUGUGCUUUGAGAAUCCAUUGUUGCUGGUAUGCCCUGAGCAGUGCCCUUGAACUUGCCCAGGUACCCCUUGACAUCCACACCACAAAUAGUCUAGCCUUACAAAGGUGGACAAGAUGUCUUUUCAACAGUCUGUACUGCCACUUCCAUCCAUCUGAAGCUUUCUGUUCCUGAGUCUGUCAUGACAUUAAUCUUUCAAAAAUCUUUCACAGAGAUUUUUAGUCUCUACUAAAAAUACAAAACAAUUAGCCAGGCAUAGUGGUGUGUGCCUGUAGUCCCAGCUACUUGGGAGGCUGAGGCAAGAGAAGCGCUUGAAUCUGGGAGGCAGACGUUGUAGUGAGCAGAGAUUGCGCCACUGCACUUCAGCCUGAGCAACAGAGUCAGACUCCAUCUCAAAAAUAAUAAAUAUAUAUAUAUACACACACACACACACAAAUAGUAUGGAUAAAGGGAAGACGCUGACCUAUCAGAACAACUGCCUGAUCAACCAGAAAGGAUUCCAGAAAUGAACACCUCGCAUGGCCAUGUGAGAACAUACCAGCUAACACCCCUUUGACAGCGGCAAUCAUCAGAGAGGAUGACAGCUCUCAGGAAGAAGAGACCACAGAACACCUACAAUGGGGCGGUGCAAAGGAUGAGAAUCUGGAGGAGGAGGAUGAGAAGAAACAGGAUGACCUGCAAUUGCUCUUCUGCUUGUAUUUACUAGCUUGGUUAGCGGGUACCCGUAUCUUCUCAGUCACUUACAUGAUGAAUCUGGGCGUUACCCUAGAUUCAUUCAUCUGCCUUUCCCGUGUCAUCCAGCUGGUCUCCUGGCAUUAUCUAUCCUGUCCUUAUUCAUUUCUGAACACCUCCCUUCCUUGCCUCAUUGCCUGUCUUACUCCAGUCCCCAUCAUCUUCCUGAUCAACCACAGAGCAACAGACUCCUAGAUGGAUCCUCUCUCUGUGUCCCCUCCAAUCCAUCCUCCAUAGCUCCUCAGACUUUUCUUUUUAAGCCAAUUGUAUUACAAUAUGUCUGCUAAAGAUCCUUAAGUGAAUUCAUAAUGCCUUCAGGAUAAGGUCCAAACUUUAAGCAUGAACUGGCUGCUGCCUUCCUUUCCAGAUUAGUCUCCAGCCUGUGUCCCCUAAUAUCCCAUAUCCUCACCAGUCCAAAUUACCUGCCGUGUGAAUUCACACCUCCAUAUAUCUGUUAGUUCUUUUGUCUCUCUUUCUCCUUUCUUCACCUGACAAACUGUUGAGCCUUGGAGAUCCAGUUCAGGCAGGAUGUCCUCUGAUCUUCCCAAGGUGAAUGCCUCUUGAGUACUUCACCUGUUUUCAUUUGACACCUAACCUUGAUUGAUUUUUCUUUCAUCUCCUCCGCUACACUGUAGGCAACCUGAUCGCAAGGGCUGUGUCUCAGCCAUCUUUGUGUCUUCGUUCUUAGUCUUCAAUAGAAUUUUACUUAAUAAAUAAAUACUUAACAUAUGGACUGAUAUAAUGUUUAAAGUUUAUUAAUUUAAAAAAAAUGUUGCUGAGAAUUAUAAACAGAUUGCAAAGAAAAAAUGCCAGAACAGUCACAUCAUAUGCAACCUG